GCCCCGACACGUGGGGCCCACCUGCCAGAGAGAGGGAGAGAGGGAGAGAGGAGGGGAGAGGAGAGGGAGUCGCGGGCUGGGCCGGGAAGGGUAGGGAGAAGCGAUUUUCUUUUUUUUUACUUUAGUAAUUUAUUUGUUUAGUGAAAUAUAUGUAUGUAUUAUUUAUAAUUAUUAUUUCAUAUGUGAUUAUGUUAAAUGCUUGUUAUUUCAUAUGUUAAAUACAUAUUAUUUUAUAUGUGAUUAUGUUGUGUAGAAAUAUAUGUAUGUAUUAUUUGUAUAGAAAUAUAUGUAUGUAUUAUUUAUAAUUAUUAUUUCAUAUGUGAUUAUGUUAAAUACUUGUUAUUUCAUAUGUUAAAUACUUAUUAUUUCAUAUGUGAUUAUGUUGUA
rnacentral:lncRNA from 1 species